rnacentral:lncRNA from 1 species
UUGUAGCCAAAUUACCACUGCCCAUCUUUGUGUUAUUUGCUGACAUUGCUUGAUGUGAGUCAUGACAAAUGGGGUGCAAUUCUAGGUCCUGGCAGCAGAAUGCUUUAUAGAAGAGAAGAACAGCUGCAACUGGCCCAUCUCAGGAUUAAAAAAAAAAAAACAGCAAAUGUGAAAAGACACAGGAGAAGCCAAGAGAACCUUGAGGCAGAUGCGCUAAAGGCAGGGUAAGAAAGGAAGAUGUUGGAAAUUACCACCAGAAAACAAAAUUAUUUCCACUGACUCAUCCUGAGGAGAGCACAGAUCAUUCUCUGUGAUGACUCCUGCCUAACAUCCAUUCCCCCACCUUAUCCCUUAUUUACUUGUCACUGUGCUUUUGGUCAGUGGUUCUUAAACCUGGCUUACUUUGUAAUCAUCUGGGGAGAUUUAAAAACUGACGGUUCAGCAAUAGCUUAGACCAAUGAAAUCACAGUAUCUGGGAUAGAAUUGAACUAUCUGUAUUUUAUAAUUCUCUUAAUCCCACAGAAGUCAAAUAAUAUAAACACUGCUCAGUUAUCGAGAACAGUUUGCAUUUAUUUCACCAAAAACACCAGGACAUUCCAUAUUGCUGCCUUUUGCUUUUGCCACCCAUUUUGCUUGGCAAAACUCAGUUCAUCUUUCAACACCCAGAGUGUCUCUUCCUAUGCAAAGCCACCUUAACUUCAGACCACCCUUCUUCAAAG